rnacentral:rRNA from 1 species
UACGUAGGGUGCAAGCGUUAAUCGGAAUUACUGGGCGUAAAGCGUGCGCAGGCGGUUCGGAAAGAGAGGUGUGAAAUCCCAGGGCUUAACCUUGGAACUGCACUUCUAACUACCGGGCUAGAGUACGUCAGAGGGGGGUAGAAUUCCACGUGUAGCAGUGAAAUGCGUAGAGAUGUGGAGGAAUACCGAUGGCGAAGGCAGCCCCCUGGGAUGAUACUGACGCUCAUGCACGAAAGCGUAGGGAGCAAACAGG